GACGAACGCUGGCGGCGUGCCUAAUACAUGCAAGUCGAGCGAAUGAAUGGGAGCUUGCUCCUGUUCGUUAGCGACGGACGGGUGAGUAACACGUGGGCAACCUGCCUGUAAGACUGGGAUAACUUCGGGAAACCGGAGCUAAUACCGGAUAGUUUCUUUCUUCACAUGAAGAAGGAUGGAAAGACGGUUUUGCUGUCACUUACAGAUGGGCCCGCGGCGCAUUAGCUAGUUGGUGAGGUAACGGCUCACCAAGGCGACGAUGCGUAGCCGACCUGAGAGGGUGAUCGGCCACACUGGGACUGAGACACGGCCCAGACUCCUACGGGAGGCAGCAGUAGGGAAUCUUCCGCAAUGGACGAAAGUCUGACGGAGCAACGCCGCGUGAGUGAAGAAGGUUUUCGGAUCGUAAAACUCUGUUGUCAGGGAAGAACAAGUACCAGAGUAACUGCUGGUACCUUGACGGUACCUGACCAGAAAGCCACGGCUAACUACGUGCCAGCCGCCGCCGUAAUAC
rnacentral:rRNA from 1 species